UCCCCUACGGGAGGCAGCAGUGAGGAAUAUUGGUCAAUGGGCGGAAGCCUGAACCAGCCAAGUCGCGUGAGGGAUUAAGGCCCUAUGGGUCGUAAACCUCUUUUGUCAGGGAGCAAUUGGCGCUACGUGUAGCGUUAUCGAGAGUACCUGAAAAAAAAGCAUCGGCUAACUCCGUGCCAGCAGCCGCGGUAAUACGGAGGAUGCGAGCGUUAUCCGGAUUUAUUGGGUUUAAAGGGUGCGUAGGCGGAAUGCCAAGUCAGCGGUAAAAUCGCGGGGCUCAACCUCGC
rnacentral:rRNA from 1 species